ACAGGAAUAAGGUCAUAAGAUUCAUAAGGACAGCAAUACAGGGGGGAGGAAAACAAUAGCAAAGGCAUCUGGGAGAUCUGAAAUAGUAGAUGUUUGCUUGAGAGAAUAACAUCAGUGGCAAUGACAUCAAGAGGAAAUGGGAACAGUUAUGAAAAAAAGCAGAUCAUUAGAAGGAAAAGGAAGUGCUGGGCAUGGAAAGAAUCCAAUAUCAUGUUCAAUUAAACUUGUAUUACACAUCUAGUCAAGUCAACUCUUCAGAGGUUAAAAAGAAAAUCGGCUUGAUAUCGGUAUUUCACAUCUGACAUAUUUUAGCUAAAAUAAAAAACUAAAAGAAGGAUACAGAAAAUCUCUUGUAUUACUUGAUUGUUUUAUAGGUUCUGAUUUGCAGAGGUUCAGUGGAUCUCAAAUGGAAGAGUACCACUCUAUGUUGCUGCAGGCCUGAGCUGGGGAUGUUAUCACUUAAUAUAGAAAAUAUGUAUGAAGUGAUGUAUCACUUUUCGGUAGGCUAUGAGGUUAGGAAUCCAGAUCUUAUCAGAAAGAAGGAAUAAGGUAAUAAUGAAGAUGUCUGAAAAAUCAUUUAUCAGACUACAAGUCUCCUGGUGUGUUGAACAAGGAAGAAAUCAUGGAGACUUUCAAGCUUUCCUCGUGAACCUAAGAAUAAGUGGUGAUUCAUUGCUUUAGAUAUGGCUGUAGGCACUUUUGUUGCCUUGAUACUGAAUUCCUUCCUCCUAAAGAAUCAGAAUAAAAGUUUUAGAAGGAAAAGAAAAAUAUUAUAAAGGGAAAACUGCAAAUGACUGAAAACCAGCCAGAUGGAGUGGGAAGAAAAGAGUUGAAGGCCAUAGGACACAGACUGUGUUCUGAGCCAAAAGCAUUAUAGAAGAUAAAACAAAAGGUAGGCAAAAAUCAGGCCCUGGCCAUCAAAGGAAAAAUAUCGGAGACAAGAUGGCACGAGGAUACAGCUACUGAGGUAAGAUUUUGGUGCAGUUCCAGAGGGGACAUUUUCCAGAUCUUGUGUCUUUAGUCUGUGGAAAGACUUAGAACAGAAGGAAGGAUCACAUAAAAAAAUGCAACUGCACAAUUGCACUAGACUGUCACCAAAUAAACUUUUUUUUUUCUUCUUUUUUUAAUUCCACAUUUUUCUUGACCUUUUACACAGGAAAAGAGUUUUUCAUAUUUUACCCCAGUAAAUCCUGCCUAAGAUAUUUUUAGCUAAACAUUAUGUUCAGGAGGACGGUAGGGAGGGAGGCCUGGGGUGCAAAAGGACGGUGACCUGAGAAGCUAUGAGGUACGUAUAUGCUGCAAUCCUUGCAGUGCAAACAUUAGCUGCAACAUCAAGUGAGGGCUGGUAACAACUUCCUGUGGUUUCAAAUAUACUGAGCAUCACCCGUAAGACAGAUCAGCGUGCAUUUAGUCUUAAAGAUCCCCCUCUCCACCUCCUUCAAAUCCAUAGUACUUUCUGGACCUUGUAUGUCUGCAGUUACUCUUAGUCUAUGCUGCCCUCUUCAGCUCAGUCUCACAGCCGCAACGGCUGCCUUUGUAUUUACAGUUGAUUGUUGUUUAGAUGGUAUCAUAUUUGCUUCAUAUAGUUUAAUAUAAGAAGCACUUAGAGAUGAAUGAACUAUUUAGGAUGAUGCUUAAUAUGAAGCUGGCAUGUAGCGCAACAACUUUUCAGCUCUUAUAGCAAUUUAUUCAUACAUAGUGAACAAGUGAAGAUUUAUGCUAAAAUGAGGAAUUCUCAGAAAUAUUGUAUUAAUAACUUUACCGUUCAUAAGGUAAAAGGUAGGUGAUGUGUUUUUUUUAUCCUGAUGUUUAUCUGCUUUGAAAGAAAUGGAAAACAUGAAGGCAUCAAGUACAUUGAACUGUUAGCACAGAACAACUCUUUAUUGUACUUAUACCAGCAUAUUGUCCAAUCUAACUUUGAAUGUGCUUGCUGACAAGCUUUCUAUCAUUUAUAGCCCAGAUAUUAAUGGAUCACUCUGUAAGAACACUUUUCUGUAUCUUCUUGUUAAUCUGGUUAUUUCCCUUGUUGCUAAGUUUUAACUUGUUCAAAUAUUUAGGGGUUGCUAUUGUGUUCUAUAGCCUUAGCCAAGCUUAGGCAUACUUAACUCUGAUAUUUUUUAAAUCAUUUCUUGCAUGUUCUUAAAUGUUUUCCAUGCUUCUCUUAGAGUACGCUGCAUGUAUCGGUGAUGAGGUACCCAGGUAUGAAC